GAGCCAGAAACAUUAGAAUAUCCGUGAGUAAUUUUACAUGGCACAGUUACCGACAAGUGAGCUGGCUUGAUAAAAUUACUAAUCACGACUGUGAGGUCAUUAAAAUACCAGAUGGCGUUACAGCGAGAUAUGUGAAACUUGACCAGUAUGCAAACACUUUCUUUCACCUUUGUGAAGUGAAAGUAUAUGCAAACGUGCCUGAAGGAGAAGAUGAAAAAUGGGAAAAAAUAAUCAAGAAUGCUCUAGAUUUACUUGGCAGUGAGAAUGACAACAGUACACUUUAUGUAAACAAUGGAUAAACGUAAACUAUAAUGAUCGGACUUGGCAGUGAGAAUGACAACAGUACACUUUAUGUAAACAGUUCCUCUUUCAAUAAAUUCUUGCUUACUAUUUAGUCUGUAGUAAUACUGUUUAAAAUA